UACAUAUGGGGCAAGCGUUAUCCGGAAUUAUUGGGCGUAAAGCGUGCGUAGGCGGUUUGUUAAGUCCGGUGUGAAAUUUCAUGGCUUAACCAUGAAGGGUCAUUGGAAACUGGCAAACUUGAGUACGGUAGGGGUAAGUGGAAUUCCAAGUGGAGCGGUGGAAUGCGUAGAGAUUUGGAGGAACACCAGUGGCGAAGGCGGCUUACUGGGCCGGAACUGACGCUGAGGCACGAAAGCGUGGGGAGCAAACAGGAUUAGAUACCCGUGUAGUCC
rnacentral:rRNA from 1 species